rnacentral:sRNA from 1 species
GGCGGGUGCUUCUAGGGCGCUCCCAGAGCCGCCUCCCCCUGUUGCUGGCAUCCCGAGCUUCCUCCCUUGCCAGCCAGGACGCUGCCGACUUGUCUUUGCCCGCUGCUCCGCAGACCGGGCUGCAAAGCUGCAACUAAUGGAGUUGGCCUCCCUGCCCACCUGUGGAAGAAACUGCGCUGAUUGAUGCGCCAUAGACUUUUUUCCCCCGACCUCGCCGGCGUCCCCUCCCACAGAUCCAGCAUCACCCAGUGAAUGUACAUUAGGGUGGUUUUCCCCCCCAGCUUCGGGCUUUGUUUGGGUUUGAUUGUGUUUGGCUCUUCGCUAAGCUGAUUUAUGCAGCAGAAGCCCCACCGGCUGGAGAGAAACAAAAGCUCUUUUCUUUGUCCCGGAGCAGGCUGCGGAGCCCUUGCAGAGCCCUCUCUCCAGUCGCCGCCGGGGCCCUUGGCCGUCGAAGGAGGUGCUUCUCGCGGAGACCGCGGGACCCGCCGUGCCGAGCCGGGAGGGCCGCAGGGGCCCUGAGAUGCCGAGCGGUGCCCGGGCCCGCUUACCUGCACCGCUUGCUCCGAGCCGCGGGGUCCGCCUGCUAGGCCUGCGGAAAACGUCCUAGCGACACUCGGCCCGCGGGCCCCGAGGUGCGCCCGGGAGGCGCGAGCGCGCGUCCGGAAGGCAGCCAGGCGGCGGGCGCGGGGCGGGCUGUUUUGCAUUAUGUGCGGCUCGGCCCUGGCUUUUUUUACCGCUGCAUUUGUCUGCCUGCAAAACGACCGGCGAGGUCCCGCCUCGUUCCUCUGGGCAGCCUGGGUGUUUUCACUUGUUCUUGGACUGGGCCAAGGUGAAGACAAUAGAUGUGCAUCUUCAAAUGCAGCAUCCUGUGCCAGGUGCCUUGCGCUGGGUCCAGAAUGUGGAUGGUGUGUUCAAGAGGAUUUCAUUUCAGGUGGAUCAAGAAGUGAACGUUGUGAUAUUGUUUCCAAUUUAAUAAGCAAAGGCUGCUCAGUUGAUUCAAUAGAAUACCCAUCUGUGCAUGUUAAAAUACCCACUGAAAAUGAAAUUAAUACCCAGGUGACACCAGGAGAAGUGUCUAUCCAGCUGCGUCCAGGAGCCGAAGCUAAUUUUAUGCUGAAAGUUCAUCCUCUGAAGAAAUAUCCUGUGGAUCUUUAUUAUCUUGUUGAUGUCUCAGCAUCAAUGCACAAUAAUAUAGAAAAAUUAAAUUCUGUUGGAAACGAUUUAUCUAGAAAAAUGGCAUUUUUCUCCCGUGACUUUCGUCUUGGAUUUGGCUCAUACGUUGAUAAAACAGUUUCACCAUACAUUAGCAUCCACCCCGAAAGGAUUCAUAAUCAAUGCAGUGACUACAAUUUAGACUGCAUGCCUCCCCAUGGAUACAUCCAUGUGCUGUCUUUGACAGAGAACAUCACUGAGUUUGAGAGAGCAGUUCAUAGACAGAAGAUCUCUGGAAACAUAGAUACACCAGAAGGAGGUUUUGACGCCAUGCUUCAGGCAGCUGUCUGUGAAAGUCAUAUCGGAUGGCGAAAAGAGGCUAAAAGAUUGCUGCUGGUGAUGACAGAUCAGACAUCUCAUCUCGCUCUUGAUAGCAAAUUGGCAGGCAUAGUGGUGCCCAAUGACGGAAACUGCCAUCUGAAAAACAACGUCUACGUCAAAUCGACAACCAUGGAACAUCCCUCACUAGGCCAACUUUCAGAGAAAUUAAUAGACAACAACAUUAAUGUCAUCUUUGCAGUUCAAGGAAAGCAAUUUCAUUGGUAUAAGGAUCUUCUACCCCUCUUGCCGGGCACCAUUGCUGGUGAAAUAGAAUCAAAGGCUGCAAACCUCAAUAAUUUGGUAGUGGAAGCCUAUCAGAAGCUCAUUUCAGAAGUGAAAGUUCAGGUGGAAAACCAGGUACAAGGCGUCUAUUUUAACAUUACCGCCAUCUGUCCAGACGGGUCCAGAAAGCCAGGCAUGGAAGGAUGCAGAAACGUGACGAGCAAUGAUGAAGUAUGUGGGUGUGCAUUUUUCCCUUUUAAAAUAAACUAAGUUGUCUGGCAUACUUUCUUACAGAAAAA